rnacentral:rRNA from 1 species
GACGAACGCUGGCGGCGUGCUUAACACAUGCAAGUCGAACGGAAAGGCCCUGCUUUUGUGGGGUGCUCGAGUGGCGAACGGGUGAGUGACACGUGAGUAACCUGCCCUUGACUUUGAGAUAACUUCAGGAAACUGGGGCUAAUACCGGAUAGGAGCUCCUGCUGCAUGGUGGGGGUUGGAAAGUUUCGGCGGUUGGGGAUGGACUCGCGGCUUAUCAGCAUGUUGGUGGGGUAGUGGCUUACCAAGGCUUUGACGGGUAGCCGGCCUGAGAGGGUGACCGGCCACAUUGGGACUGAGAUACGGCCCAGACUCCUACGGGAGGCAGCAGUGGGGAAUAUUGCACAAUGGGCGGAAGCCUGAUGCAGCAACGCCGCGUGCGGGAUGAUGGCCUUCGGGUUGUAAACCGCUUUCGCCUGUGACGAAGCGUGAGUGACGGUAAUGGGUAAAGAAGCACCGGCUAACUACGUG